CGUGUUUUACAUCGGCUGAAAGUUGAUUGCAUUCGAUUUGGAACCGGGCUGCCUUCCGGGCUCGAGCCAGGUGCCCUGUUCAAAGCCCACUGCGAAGUCGGCUCCAAACAAAAGUGACUGUUCUCUCACAGGUACGAAGAUGUGGGCGAUUGAAAAGCACCUUGUGAACUGGAGCAGACGGCAUAAACACAUUGGAGAACACGCUUCGUGCCAGGGAGCGGACGUGCAAGAUACCUGGCAAUACAAAGUACCAGGAUCACUGUGCCUGGACCACUGUGCCUGGACCACUGUGCCUGGACCACUGUGCCUGGACCACUGAUGCGCACAUGACAGGGGAGAAGGGGGUUGACCCUGUAACGUCAUCGGUUAAUCUCUUGACGUGGUCGACCAUGCCCAGGAAAAUAAAAUUCACUUGUUAACCAUCA